UCUCCGUUGGUGAACCAGCGGAGGGAUCAUUACCGAGUUUACAACUCCCAAACCCCUGUGAACAUACCUAUCGUUGCUUCGGCGGGAUCGCCCCGGGCGCCUUGUGUGCCCCGGAUCCAGGCACCCGCCGGGGGACCUUAACUCUUGUUUUAUUUAGAAUCUUCUGAGUAGUUUUUACAAAUAAAUAAAAACUUUCAACAACGGAUCUCUUGGUUCUGGCAUCGAUGAAGAACGCAGC
rnacentral:misc_RNA from 1 species